UAGGGAAUCUUCGGCAAUGGGGGCAACCCUGACCGAGCAACGCCGCGUGAGUGAAGAAGGUUUUCGGAUCGUAACGCUCUGUUGUAAGAGAAGAACGUGUGUGAGAGUGGAAAGUUCACACAGUGACGGUAACUUACCAGAAAGGGACGGCUAACUACGUGCCAGCAGCCGCGGUAAUACGUAGGUCCCGAGCGUUGUCUGGAUUUAUUGGGCGUAAAGCGAGCGCAGGCGGUUUAAUAAGUCUGAAGUUAAAGGCAGUGGCUUAAUCAUUGUUCGCUUGUGAAAGUGAUGAGCUUGAUUGCAGAAGGGGAGAGAGGAAUUCCAUGUGUAGCGGUGAAAUGCGUAGAUAUAUGGAGGAACACCGGUGGCGAAAGCGGCUCUCUGGUCGGUAACUGACGCUGAGGCUCGAAAGCGUGGGGAGCAAACAGG
rnacentral:rRNA from 1 species